GAGAAUAAUAAACCCAAAAGCAAUUCAUUAGAUUAAGCAUUCAUGUUCCUAAUAAAACACUAGAAGAUACACAUUAGAUUAAGCAUUUUUCUCCUAAAAGUUAGAAUUAAAGCCGAACUAUUUACAUUUAAAAAUUGAUUCUCACAAAAUCUCUUCUACGGUUGAAGAGAGACACUCUGGAGGUUCAUAAUUUGACAUCCUGUCAACCAGUUCCGGGUCGUUAGCUGGUUCCCAUAGAUCCCACAAAACUCUGUGGCGAGCUUCUUUGAUGUUACCAUCAUUCACCA
rnacentral:lncRNA from 1 species